UUCACUCUUUUGAUGUUCCAACUAGCUGAUAGUUUUUUUUUUAUUUUUUUAUGAUAAGUUGAUAACAAUUGGUUCUGAUCUAUACAUGGAGUAUAUGGGGAUAUGGAUCAUGGUUAUGGUUAUGCACCAUACGGUCCUUAUUCACAUGUUGGCUCACUUUUGCGACAGUAGGAGGGAUUUUUUUUCCAGUAUACGUGAGGCUGCUUCGAGAUAAUGAAUACAAAGUGCGUAUUGCAGCUAUACUGAUCAUGGUGGUCGAAGAAGACGACGGUCAAAAGGGUUCAUCCGGAUUUGAUUUUGUUCACUUCUAAGGUGGAACGGGCAAAGUUUGUGUUUGAAUCAAAGACUAUAAUGAAAAUGGAGCUUUUGGUGUUGUCUUCGCUUGAAUGGAAAAUGAAUCAUGUGACUCGGCUACUACCUGCAGUUGGAUCCAUUGGUCCUCAAAGUUUUGGAACAAAUUAUUCAAUGUAAGUAUGUUUCUUUUUUCUUGGUUUGGUGAUUGCUAUGUAUAUAUCGUUUUAUAAUUAUAGAACGGCUUCAUUUGUGGUUAUCAUGUAGAAACACCCUGGAUGGAUCAGUAUUUGGUUCAAUUUUCUCUAAGUAAUAUUCUUUUAGUUUGUUUUAUUUGUGUCUCUACACCUCACUUAAGGGAUCGGAAAACUGGCUACCAUAUUUGGUUGUCACAC